UGCCGUACGCCACCUAGCGGCUCCUUAGCGUUGGCCGGGUGUAAAGCGUCCGGAUGUACGGCUUGGAAGCCACAAUCAGGUUGGCCUCACUCAUGCUGCGGGAGGGCCGGAGCACCAGUCCAAGUGAAACAGGUGACGAAUGGAGCCCUAACACUUCUGGCACCUUAGAAGAAGAAAGAGGGAGCUGUGUGAGAAGAGUAUGCUAAUGGGAAGAAAAUGUGGCACAGAAAAGUCCCACGACGGAAGAGUACAUCAUCAUAGUUGAAAGACAGUAGGGGCACAUGACUCUGAGGGAGAACCUCAUGGAAAUGAAAGAAAAAACCCAGGGGUAUCAUUAAUAGUAAACAAAUUUUGUGAUGUGCAUCCAUCAAAUGUGAAAUAAUGCUAAAUGCUGUCUUUGAAGAAAGCAAAGAAUUGAGGUCUCCUUGAAAAACAAGGAAAUAGAGAACCCAACAGUAAUAAGACGGGUGAGGAAAAUGCUGUCCUGUCAAAACUGAAAGGACCAAGGAAGUUCAGAAAUACUAGUGUAUGGGAAACUGGCAAGAGUCAGAGGAAAAUGGGCCAGGCCUUCGUAAAGGUCCUGGGACUUCACAUGACCUGUGAGAAGGGUGAGAGAAUCUGUAACUUUAAAGGAGAAUAAACAGAACACAUGCUCCA
rnacentral:lncRNA from 14 species